CCCCUCUCAGAGUCACACCUGGGGAGUUUCCAGUCCUCUACCAGUUUUGGCUAUGGGAGGGAGAGUCAAGCAGAGGCCUAUCCAUUCCAUUCCUAGUUUGGCUAGCGGCUAGGAAGUGGAAGGGAAUCUGCUACAAGU